rnacentral:rRNA from 1 species
AGAGUUUGAUCCUGGCUCAGAACGAACGCUGGCGGCGUGCUUAACACAUGCAAGUCGCGUGCGCAGUUUCCGUAGCAAUACGGGGAUGGGCGCACGGCGCACGGGUGCGUAACACGUGGGCAAUCUGCCCUCCGAUGGGGAAUACCCCCGCGAAAGCGGGACUAAUUCCGCAUAACAUUCCUUGGAUUAACUUUCGAGGAUUCAAGGCAGCAAUGCGUCGGAGGAGGAGCCCGCGCCCGAUUAGCUAGUUGGUGAGGUAACGGCUCACCAAGGCAAUGAUCGGUAGCUGGUCUGAGAGGAUGGCCAGCCACACUGGAACUGAGACACGGUCCAGACUCCUACGGGAGGCAGCAGUGGGGAAUCUUGCACAAUGGGCGAAAGCCUGAUGCAGCGACGCCGCGUGGGGGAUGAAGCUUUUCGGAGUGUAAACCCCUUUCGACUGGGACGAAUGCCUCGCAAGAGGAGUGACGGUACCAGUAUAAGAAGCCCCGGCUAACUACGUGCCAGCAGCCGCGGUAAGACGUAGGGGGCCAGCGUUGUUCGGAAUUACUGGGUGUAAAGGGUUCGUAGGCGGUGUGGCAAGUCGGGAGUGAAAUCUCUGGGCUCAACCCAGAGACUGCUUCCGAAACUGCUGUGCUUGAGUGUGAGAGAGGCUCGUGGAAUUGCAGGUGUAGCGGUGAAAUGCGUAGAUAUCUGCAGGAACACCCGUGGCGAAAGCGGCGAGCUGGAUCACUACUGACGCUGAGGAACGAAAGCUAGGGGAGCAAACAGGAUUAGAUACCCUAGUAGUCC